rnacentral:rRNA from 1 species
GAUGAACGCUGGCGGCGUGCCUAAUACAUGCAAGUCUAGCGACCAGACGAGGCGCUUGCUCCUCUGACGUUCGCGGCGGACGGGUGAGUAACCCGUGGAUAACCUACCUAUAAGACUGGGAUAACUUCGGGAAACCGGAGCUAAUACCGGAUAACAUGUUGGACCGAAUGGUUCAACAGUGAAAGACGGUCUUGCUGUCGCUUAUAGAUGGAUCCGCGCCGCAUUAGCUAGUUGGUAAGGUAACGGCUUACCAGGGCAACGAUGCGUAGCCGACCUGAGAGGGUGAGCGGCCACACUGGAACUGAGGCACGGUCCAGACGCCCAGGGGCGGCAGCAGUGGGGAAGCUGCCGCAAUGGGGGAAAGCGUGACGGAGCAACGCCGCGUGAGUGAAGAAGGUCUUCGGAUCGUAAGACUCUGUUAUUAGGGAGGAAGAAAUGUGUAAGGAACUACGCACGGCUUGACGGUACCGAGUCAGAAAGCCACGGCUAACUACGUG